GGAGGGUGCGAGCGUUGUUCGGAUUUAUUGGGCGUAAAGCGCGUGUAGGCGGCUUCUUAAGUCUGAUGUGAAAGCCCUGGGCUCAACCCGGGAAGUGCAUUGGAAACUGGGGAACUUGAAUACGGGAGAGGGUAGUGGAAUUCCUGGUGUAGGAGUGAAAUCCGUAGAUAUCAGGAGGAACACCGGUGGCGAAGGCGGCUACCUGGACCGAUAUUGACGCUGAGACGCGAAAGCGUGGGGAGCAAACAGGAUUAGAUACCCUGGUAGUCCACGCCGUAAACGAUGAGUACUAGGUGUUGCGGGUAUUGACCCCUGCAGUGCCGCAGCUAACGCAUUAAGUACUCCGCCUGGGAAGUACGGUCGCAAGACUA
rnacentral:rRNA from 1 species